rnacentral:rRNA from 1 species
UACGGGGGGAGCAAACGUUGUUCGGAAUCACUGGGCGUAAAGGGCGUGUAGGCGGCUGGAUAAGUGGGAUGUUAAAUCCCCCGGCUCAACCGGGGACCUGCAUCUCAUACUGUUCAGCUCGAGCACAUCAGAGGAGACUGGAAUUCCCGGUGUAGCGGUGAAAUGCGUAGAUAUCAGGAAGAACACCCGUGGCGAAGGCGGCUCUCUGGGGACGGUACUGACGCUGAGACGCGAAAGCGUGGGAGCGAACGGG